ACAUCAGGUGAAGGUUAGCUCACAAUUUCAUGGAUCCGGAAACUGAGAACAUGGUGAAACUCCACAUAGGCAUGUCUUUGAGGAUCUUCAAAGGGGACUCUACUCUCUUUUGUGUUAAUUACAGAGACACAGCAAUGCAGAGGCCUGUCUACCUUACUUCUCACCGUGAUGUGGUCUUCUGCAUUACCCUGGCAGACUUCACUGGUCCCAAGGAGGCACUGCAAGGGAAGUCAGCACCUGUGAUUCUACCCCAGCUCCGGGUCCUGCAUCACUACUGUGACCCUGGGCAGCACUGUUCUCCUCUCCAUCCUGGGCUUCUUAAGGGCCGAUAACAAGAGGAAGUGAAAGCCCCACAGGAAUCUGUCAACACCGAGGAACUGUGGGAUGAAGGUUCCCUGAGGAGCUGUGGGCUCCUUGUCUCCCUGAACCACGUUUGCUGCUGUUUUAAGGACCAAGAAACAUGCAGGGGAAAUGUGCUUUCUCGAAAUUCGCAAGAAGCUACUUCCCCUGGAGCUACCUCCCGCCACCCUGGAAUCCCUGCAAGACACACUAUGCUGGGACACGCUCCCUGGGUAAAAUACAGAAAGAAGAAGCUGGAAGGAGCAGUUUUUCUCAUGGAAGACAAGAAGUUUCAGUUGGGGUGGGGUGGGGGUUGGAACCAGCAUUAAGACCUGAGCUGCCUGCCUGGUGCAUCUAUCUUCAUCAGACCCACUUUCUCUCCUCCAAAGUCCUGCUUCCUUCCCACAGUUCAGCUGUGGAGCCCUGUGAGGCUUCUCUUGAAAGGUCUCGAGACUUUCGUCAUGACAAGUUUGCAAUCUGUCCAGUAUUUCUCCUAGGAAAUUCUCUUUGUAAAAGUGCAGCCAUCAAUAUAGUCACAGAGGGAGACAAAUGUUUAAUGGAUGGAGCAAUUACAGAUCAGCAAGAAAAAUCCUACUCUAGGACAGAAUAAGUUACCAAUAGCCACAACCAGUGCUCAGGGACAGUUUCUGAGAAUGAAUGAGGGAGUCUCCACCUCUCACACCUGAAUCCCUGAGCUGGGACGACAGUGGAAACACAGACUCACUCCAGCGGUGUCAGCAAUGUCACUGGAUCACUUCAGAUGUGCUGGCGCACUGCCAGCCACUACUGAGGAAAAUUAGCAGCCAAAGCGAAGGUCAAGUCUCAAGUUCACAUUGCUCUGGGCACGGGGACCACUGGCCUUGCAGACCUUGAUUGGGCGUCACUGGGAUAUUACUGUAGCAGCAGCAGCAGCUGAGGACCACUGCAGCCCUGGGCUAUGGACAUCACCUCAGCAGUGUGUUUAAGGGGCUGGGGAAACGGCUCAGUCAGGAAAGUGCUUCAUGCAAGGCCCUCAGCUGUAUUACAGAUGUUGAGGGGAGGAAGACAAGAGGUUCCUGGGACUUUCUCAACAGCAACUCUAGCUCAGCCAGUGAGUUCCAGGUUCAGGAAGAGACCCUCUUUCAAAAAAUAAGAUGGAUGGCUCCUGAGGAAUAACACCUGAGAAUGAUCUCUGGUCUCCAACACACAUGUGCACACAUGAACACACAACACACACACACACACACACACACACACACACACACACACACACACCACUUUUAAAUUCUGGGAACAGGAGGCAGCUUACUGCACACAGAGGCACUCUAGGCUUGAGCAGAAUCAUGGGAGGAACAGGAAGGUAACAAGCACAAGUGAGAUACCAUUAAGGGAGCCACACAGCUUCCCUGGUAACCCUAUUGAAAAUGAGUCUUUGUAUAAAUAUUGGUAUCAUUAAAUAAGGACUACUUAGACAAUGAUCCCAGAGACUUUGCUCAAAGUAAAGCCUUUCUGUCACAGAGGUUAGCAAGGACAUCAAAACACAUUUCCAUACUCCAGAGAAGAUGUAUUACUUGGAAAUGCUACAUCCUGUGCUGGGCAGUGCUCCACCCAUGCCUCAGUUUCCCCAUUGCUAAAAUGGGAUUGGCAACACCUUUGAGUCUCAGAAUCAAACACUAUGUGACUGGUUUGAGGAUACAGCUGUCACCAAUUCAGACCCCAUAAGCUGGCUCAGAAUAAACCCACUGACCUGUGGGUACAGCAGAGCCUCUCCAGGGUCACCCUGGAACAGCCACAUUCUUCAUUCUGCAAGAAAUUUCCAGAAAUUAGUCAUCUACACUGUCAUCCUGUCCACUCAGCCAAAGCAGCUUUGGAACACAGUGUCUUGCCAGAGGUGAAAUCUUGAUUUCGAAGCUGAAGAAUCCUUCUGACCCUAGAGGGACUGGAGAGGAAGGAAGCCUGAAGCAGGGCUCGGCAGUUCUUUCACCAGACCCAGAAGCCGGAGGUACCCAUCAGCAUGAUGACUGAAUCCAGGAGUCGGAGGCUCUUCCCUAGUGCUCUCUGGCCCAACCCAGCUGCUCUUCUGAACUAGUCUUCACGGGCUGGGACCUAAGAGACAAUGUUCACUUCCACAGCACCUUCUUGCUCCAGACACCAGAGACUCAACCUAGAAAAAUCAGCAGUAACCUAGUUCAGGGCUGCUGAGGAGGGACGGAGACACUCAGCCUGGCUUGGAUGUUCUAAAAAACACCACCAAGCCCCACUACUCACAUAUACCUCCGCUCCUAGCCUCCCCAGUGUUGGGAUUACAAGCAGGUGCCACCAUACCUGUGGCUUCUGGGAAUUAAACUUGGGUCUUUAUGCUGUGGAGAAACAUUUUCACAAACAAGCUAUCUGCCCAGCUUCUCACCCAACUCCCCACUUUUUGACAAAAUGUUGUUAUCCUAGGCUGGUCUCAGACUCACUGUCCUCCUGUCUUUGCCUGUCCACUGCCUCACCUGCUGUCUGAGAGUUGCAAUCUUUCUGAAACAUAAGCUUUGGAGAGAACACUGGGACUUUGGGUCAGGCGAUGCUUAAGCUUACUUCUCAGCUCUGUAGUUCCCCUGCUGCAUGCAUCUCUGUCUCCUCUUGGGUAGAAUGGGGACAGUGUGUCCCUUGGAGGGCUGCUGGGAAGAUCACUCCAGAUGAUGUGGGGGAAGAGGAACCAUCAAAGGGUACCAAAGAGAACAGGGGAGUCCAGAGCAUCUUAGUUUAUUCUUCUUACCUUUGGGACCUCUGUUCUGGUCACAAAAAGAGAUUUUUCCACCUGGUCUAUGAUUUCCUGUGAGAAUUCCUUUCUGAUUCAAUGUCUAGGAAGCUGGGCUCCAUACUACAGAAUGUGUUAUUCAGAGAACAAACCAGCAAAAAGCACGUAAGCAUCGAAGUUAAGCCAGGAGGAUGGACACUGCCACUGUGAGCAGGACACCCAGGUAGCCUGUCAGGCUUGCUCCUGAGGAUUUACAGACCCAGGCAUUAACUGUCAGCCUCGCAAUGAGAAAAUUAGUCAGCAAUUCCCAGUGACAGCUCUUCUUCCAAACAGUAAGAGAAUAAUCAAACACUAAGUCCUUCCAGUCAAGCUGAAGAGCAGGAUCUGAGGAGUGAGUGCAUCCCACCUGCCAGUCACUGGGAAGGAGGGACAGAGGUCUGCUGCAGCUUCAGCUUUUAUUGAAUUCCCAGGAUUAUCAGGAUCUGGAAAUUCUGAAUGAAAAAACCACAAAGGCAGCGUGUGGUAUGAGUGCAGCAGGUGAAGGCUUCCAGGUCUGGUUUGUGUCUGGAUGGAGUCAUAACUGCUAAGGUCCUGGUGCACCAGGGUCUGCUCUUCCCCUUCCACUGAGGUUAGACCCAUUGCUGAGGCUUUAAAUGCACUGGUACCUCCUGCGGGGACGUGGCCUGCUGGAAAUUGUGUUUUAUGCUUUGGGUCUGAUUACCCUGGAAGGUCACCCAUUUGGCAUCUUGAUUUUGUUUCUGGUCCACUUUGGAACAACCUUCCCUGGCCCCUCUUUGCACUGCAUGCCCCUCCCCCGGCCUCCAGUCCUGGCUGCCAGGGCUGAAUUCAAGAGUGUGGGUGUCAUUAAUUGACAUUCAUCAAAACACUCCUCAUUGUUCGCAGACACUCCAGGCCGAGAGGUGGAACUCACUCGGUAUUUCAUGUUAAUCUGUAUUGAGGACUUGCCUGACAAAACACAUUACUGUAAGAAUUGCCAGCCUGAAAAGGAAGCUGUGUUUAUGGCUCACCCCUAUUUUUCUUGCCUAAAGGAAAUGACACUUCCCCUCUCUAUCCUUCCCAGCCUUCCGUGGCUCACCCCCCCCCCUAUCAUCCACACAGCCUUAACAUUUAAUUUUUCCUUCACGAGUAAAGCUUUUGUUGGUGGUGUCUGCAAAAUUAUAAUAAACAUCUUGGGCU